UGUGGGGCCACGCCCUCAGGCUGUCACUGUCCGAUACCGGCCGGAGGCGGGGCUACCUGGG
rnacentral:precursor_RNA from 1 species